GACGAACGCUGGCGGCGUGCUUAACACAUGCAAGUCGAACGGUGAAAGCGGAGCUUGCUCCGCUGGAUCAGUGGCGAACGGGUGAGUAACACGUGGGCAACCUGCCCCUCACUUCGGGAUAACUCCGGGAAACCGGGGCUAAUACCGGAUAUGACCUCCUUGGGCAUCCUUGGAGGUGGAAAGUUUUUCGGUGAGGGAUGGGCCCGCGGCCUAUCAGCUUGUUGGUGGGGGAGUGGCUCACCAAGGCGACGACGGGUAGCCGGCCUGAGAGGGCGACCGGCCACACUGGGACUGAGACACGGCCCAGACUCCUACGGGAGGCAGCAGUGGGGAAUAUUGCGCAAGGGGCGAAAGCCUGACGCAGCAACGCCGCGUGCGGGAUGACGGCCUUCGGGUUGUAAACCGCUUUCAGCAGGGAAGAAGCCGCAAGGUGACGGUACCUGCAGAAGAAGCACCGGCUAACUACGUGCCAGCAGCCGCCGUAA
rnacentral:rRNA from 1 species